UGCAGUCGAGCGGAACGAGUUAUCUGAACCUUCGGGGGACGAUAACGGCGUCGAGCGGCGGACGGGUGAGUAAUGCCUAGGAAAUUGCCCUGAUGUGGGGGAUAACCAUUGGAAACGAUGGCUAAUACCGCAUGAUGCCUACGGGCCAAAGAGGGGGACCUUCGGGCCUCUCGCGUCAGGAUAUGCCUAGGUGGGAUUAGCUAGUUGGUGAGGUAAGGGCUCACCAAGGCGACGAUCCCUAGCUGGUCUGAGAGGAUGAUCAGCCACACUGGAACUGAGACACGGUCCAGACUCCUACGGGAGGCAGCAGUGGGGAAUAUUGCACAAUGGGCGCAAGCCUGAUGCAGCCAUGCCGCGUGUGUGAAGAAGGCCUUCGGGUUGUAAAGCACUUUCAGCCGUGAGGAAGGUGGGUGUGUUAAUAGCACAUUCAUUUGACGUUAGCUGCAGAAGAAGCACCGGCUAACUCCGUGCCAGCAGCCGCGGUAAUACGGAGGGUGCGAGCGUUAAUCGGAAUUACUGGGCGUAAAGCGCAUGCAGGUGGUUUGUUAAGUCAGAUGUGAAAGCCCGGGGCUCAACCUCGGAAUAGCAUUUGAAACUGGCAGACUAGAGUACUGUAGAGGGGGGUAGAAUUUCAGGUGUAGCGGUGAAAUGCGUAGAGAUCUGAAGGAAUACCGGUGGCGAAGGCGGCCCCCUGGACAGAUACUGACACUCAGAUGCGA
rnacentral:rRNA from 1 species